CUGCUAUCUGCAGGCAGCCAUCCACACCCUCGUAUCUCCUCCUGGAUACAGGCUCUCAGGGGGCAUUUUAACAGAGGGCCAGGAGGAGACUCCCCAGCACAGAAUUCUGCCCGGUAUUUCCGCUCCCCUUCCAUGGUGAGAGUGCUCUCACUCAGCCCUUUUCAUCUCCCUCUGGAAAACAACCCAGGGCUGGUGGAUGACAAAGUGCCAGACGACAGCACCAGUCUCCCAGCUCCCAGGCCAAAACUACCAGCUGGAUCAUUUUUCCUCAAGCAGUGCAAUAAAUAGCAGAAAGGAAAGAAGAAACCUGCAGAGCUCCUGCCCUGAAAGAGCAGUGCAAGCCCAGCAGCCUCCGGAUGGCUUUAAAUCAAAGGCAAACAAUCUCAGCCUGAUGUCAGCACAGCCCAGUGCCUUCCCCUGCUCUCUCCCAUCCCCUUCUGCUGAAGAGCCAUCAGGUUUCUGAAUAAAGCAGCUCACAGGAAGGCCACUUUACUGGAUUAAGGUGAUUUUAAAUAAUACAUUUGGAGAGUAAUUAGUCCGAGAGUGUGACGCCAAGGAGCCCCGAUUCGUAAUGCUGCCACAGCCCUUUCAGCUGCCUUAUGCAAAAUAAAUUCUCUGUGCUUCCCAAGA